rnacentral:rRNA from 1 species
GAUGAACGCUGGCGGCGUGCCUAAUACAUGCAAGUCGAGCGAACAGACGAGGAGCUUGCUCCUCUGACGUUAGCGGCGGACGGGUGAGUAACACGUGGAUAACCUACCUAUAAGACUGGGAUAACUUCGGGAAACCGGAGCUAAUACCGGAUAAUAUAUUGAACCGCAUGGUUCAAUAGUGAAAGACGGUUUUGCUGUCACUUAUAGAUGGAUCCGCGCCGCAUUAGCUAGUUGUUAAGGUAACGGCUUACCAAGGCAACGAUGCGUAGCCGACCUGAGAGGGUGAUCGGCCACACUGGAACUGAGACACGGUCCAGACUCCUACGGGAGGCAGCAGUAGGGAAUCUUACGCAAUGGGCGAAAGCCUGACGGAGCAACGCCGCGUGAGUGAUGAAGGUCUUCGGAUCGUAAAACUCUGUUAUUAGGGAAGAACAAAUGUGUAAGUAACUAUGCACGUCUUGACGGUACCUAAUCAGAAAGCCACGGCUAACUACGUG